rnacentral:rRNA from 1 species
AACGAACGCUGGCGGCGCGUUUUAAGCAUGCAAGUCGAAUGGCAGUGGGGGCAACCCCAUGAGAAUGGCGAACGGGUGAGUAACACGUAGGUGAUCUGCCUGACGGUUGGGGAUAGCCUGUGGAAACACUGGGUAAUACCGAAUGAGCUGACGACACUUUGGUGAUGUUAGUAAAGGUGCUACGGCACCGCCGACAGAGGAGCCUGCGGCUGAUUAGCGAGUUGGUGGGGUAAAGGCCUACCAAGGCGACGAUCAGUAGCCGGCCUGAGAGGGUGUACGGCCACACUGGAACUGAGACACGGUCCAGACUCCUACGGGAGGCAGCAGCUAAGAAUCUUCCGCAAUGGGCGAAAGCCUAACGGAGCGAUGCCGCGUGAUCGAUGAAGGUCGAGAGAUUGUAAAGAUCUUUUCCACAUGAGGAAUAAGUCUGGGAGGGAAUGCCUGGAUGAUGACGUUAGUGUGGGAAUAAGCCCCGGCUAAUUACGUGCCAGCCGCCGCCGUAA